GAUGAACGCUGGCGGCGUGCCUAAUACAUGCAAGUCGAGCGAACGGACGAGAAGCUUGCUUCUCUGAUGUUAGCGGCGGACGGGUGAGUAACACGUGGAUAACCUACCUAUAAGACUGGGAUAACUUCGGGAAACCGGAGCUAAUACCGGAUAAUAUUUUGAACCGCAUGGUUCAAAAGUGAAAGACGGUCUUGCUGUCACUUAUAGAUGGAUCCGCGCUGCAUUAGCUAGUUGGUAAGGUAACGGCUUACCAAGGCAACGAUGCAUAGCCGACCUGAGAGGGUGAUCGGCCACACUGGAACUGAGACACGGUCCAGACUCCUACGGGAGGCAGCAGUAGGGAAUCUUCCGCAAUGGGCGAAAGCCUGACGGAGCAACGCCGCGUGAGUGAUGAAGGUCUUCGGAUCGUAAAACUCUGUUAUUAGGGAAGAACAUAUGUGUAAGUAACUGUGCACAUCUUGACGGUACCUAAUCAGAAAGCCACGGCUAACUACGUGCCAGCAGCCGCGGUAAUACGUAGGUGGCAAGCGUUAUCCGGAAUUAUUGGGCGUAAAGCGCGCGUAGGCGGUUUUUUAAGUCUGAUGUGAAAGCCCACGGCUCAACCGUGGAGGGUCAUUGGAAACUGGAAAACUUGAGUGCAGAAGAGGAAAGUGGAAUUCCAUGUGUAGCGGUGAAAUGCGCAGAGAUAUGGAGGAACACCAGUGGCGAAGGCGACUUUCUGGUCUGUAACUGACGCUGAUGUGCGAAAGCGUGGGGAUCAAACAGGAUUAGAUACCCUGGUAGUCCACGCCGUAAACGAUGAGUGCUAAGUGUUAGGGGGUUUCCGCCCCUUAGUGCUGCAGCUAACGCAUUAAGCACUCCGCCUGGGGAGUACGACCGCAAGGUUGAAACUCAAAGGAAUUGACGGGGACCCGCACAAGCGGUGGAGCAUGUGGUUUAAUUCGAAGCAACGCGAAGAACCUUACCAAAUCUUGACAUCCUUUGACAACUCUAGAGAUAGAGCCUUCCCCUUCGGGGGGGCAAAGUGACAGGUGGUGCAUGGUUGUCGUCAGCUCGUGUCGUGAGAUGUUGGGUUAAGUCCCGCAACGAGCGCAACCCUUAAGCUUAGUUGCCAUCAUUAAGUUGGGCACUCUAAGUUGACUGCCGGUGACAAACCGGAGGAAGGUGGGGAUGACGUCAAAUCAUCAUGCCCCUUAUGAUUUGGGCUACACACGUGCUACAAUGGACAAUACAAAGGGUAGCGAAACCGCGAGGUCAAGCAAAUCCCAUAAAGUUGUUCUCAGUUCGGAUUGUAGUCUGCAACUCGACUACAUGAAGCUGGAAUCGCUAGUAAUCGUAGAUCAGCAUGCUACGGUGAAUACGUUCCCGGGUCU
rnacentral:rRNA from 1 species